GUAUCCCUGCAGUGUGCGUGUUGAAUGGGAAGUUUUUGAACCAACACCAACACAUUGGGAGCCUAACUUUAGAUGCGGCUGUAGACCUUGCCCCUAGGGGCAAGGGAACAUUAAGCAUUUAAGAGGGCACCCACCUGUUUAUUAGGUUCAACAAGACGACCUUUCACACGGCAUGAGUGGGGAUUUU
rnacentral:other from 1 species